GAUAAAAAUAUCAAUCUACUUUCAAUGAGUAUCAGUUACCCAAAUUUGAUUCCACAGGCCAAGAACUGGCAGAGUUAAUAAAAUCUGUAUCUUAAAAUAUGAUGUGCAUCUAGAUGGCAAAAGAGAUAAAGAAGUCCCUUUUAGCUAUUUAAAUAAUAAUGUCCUAUUGAAAAUUUCUCUCAAUAAUAAUUCUAUAACUAUUAAGAAAGUCUUUCUUAGGGAGGUUCCUCCUGAAAUAGUAAAGAAACAAUUCUUUUUCAGGAAAAGAGCUUAAAGUUAUUUCUGAAAUAUUUCUUAGCCUAUUGACUAAGGACUGGACUUGUCUUUAGUCUUCAAAAUUAAUUGGUGGUGAUUACAACACCAAUUAGAUAAUCCCCCUAAGCUGGAGUUUAUUUGUAUUUUAUCGGUUUCAUCAGCUAAUGAAGCUACCUGAUGCAUGGAUCUCAGAGGACAGUUUGUUACAACAGGUAGGAUGAACAGUCUCUACUCCUGGAGAACUCACAUACUGCUAGUUUGUGAAUACCAAUGAGCAUAUAUAAAAUGAGGCAGAAACAGAAAGAUCCUAAAAACCCAGCAGAAAAUCAGUAAAAAUUCCAGCUCCCUCAGGCUGGGUCAUGUCAAAGCACAAAGUCAUCUCCCAAAGGAGAUUCAUACUCACCCCUCACCCCAGCACCCCUCCCCUUAUUUCCUUCCUGGUACCUGGGAAAAUCCAUCUCCCCUUACAGGCAAUUGACUGCUUGCUGUCUGUCUCCCUGUAUACAGCACUGUAGUCCAGCAUCAAAGAGUGUCUGUCUCAUGACAGGCUCUUGGCAAAGAAGGAAUCAACAGGGCCCAGUAUCUUCACCACUGAGGUCUGAGCCAUGACCCUAGCACAGCCUCUGCUACAUGGUCAGGGGAGUGGGGAGGUAUGGCUGUGACGAGGAAGAUGGAACAGGGCACCGAUUCAGGCACAGAAGGGGACAUGUCCCUGCAGCACAUUAGGGCCAGCCACCCGGUAUCUGCAAGUUAAUCAGGUAAAGUCCAUUUAGGAAUAAUUCCUGGGAGAGUCCACUGUGGGCUGGAUCAAUUUCCUGGUUGGUCUGUGGUGUUCUGUUAGGCCUCAGAUUAGAGAAGAGGACUAGGAGCUGUGACUGAGGAGGAGGGGCAGAGAGAACGAAGGAGCCCUCUGGGCAGGCAGGUCUGCACUGGGUAUGCCAGGGUGUGGAGGGCCCCAGCUGAGGCCUGAGGAGCACCCCUAGCCCAGGACAGUACAGUGGCUCCAGGGAGCACCGAUAGCCACCACUCUCAUUGCUAUCCCUACCCCUUGUUGAGGGGCUGUCCUGCUCCAUGUACCACCUCAGGAUAACGAGGCCUGGCUAUCACAGGCCAGGAUGGUGACUAUGUGAGGGAGAGUCCAGAGAGACCAGGGUUCAGCCAUGCUCUGUGCAAACACCAGUUGGGACCCUUCUGUUUGGUGUUUUCUUUAUACCCUAUACCUCAGAUCAAUCCAAAAAAGCUAACUAUGACUGGGGAGGGGGUUCAUUCCAACAAUCAUGGGGGUCUAGCCUCCUGAGAUAAAGAUCGUAUAUCCAUCACAGGGUUUGAAAAUGCAAAUGUGCCCAGCCACCAUGUGUGAAGGAGCAAGGAGCCUGGGUGGAGGCCCACCCAGAGCAGCAGCCCUCAGCCCUGGUCAAGAACUGCCAGGGAAAGGGGUGUGCCUGACACUGCCAGAUCUUCAGGUUUCUUGGGGUUUACUGGCCUGCACUGAGGUGGUGACUAGUCAUUCUCAGCUUGCUCCAUUUUAAAAAAGGAAAAAGAAAAAAGGAAACAGAAGAAAACAUUCCAACAGUUAAUGGUGGUACAACUAUGGGACCAGAUUCCAUCUCAAGAAACGACUCUCUUUGCUCAUCUGUGAAAUGCAGCUCCUUAUCCAUGCAAGUUUAUCAUAAGACUGUAGCAUUUCAAAUAUGAUAACAACAAAAAACUUUGAAAUAUUGAGAGAAUUACCAGAAUGUGACACAGAGACAUGAAGUGAGCAAAUGCUGUUAGAAAUGGUGCCAAGGCAUUGUCACAAACUUUCAAUUGGUAAAAAACACAGUUCCUGUAAAGCAUGAUACUGCAAAGCACAAUAAAAUAAGCGUCUCUCAUUUUUUAGUAAAAAGUGUCAUACCUCGCUUUCCUUUUCUGGAUGUUUUUCAACCCACAUUCUUGGGAGAUAUGCGUCAGACAAACCAACAUGAAGAGUGAAUCCAUCACUGUCUAAGGAGCUACCUUCCACGGUGCUAAUUACAGCUUUGCAGUCUGUCCUCUACAAAACAAACAACAAAGAUAACAAAAAAUCUUCUCUACUGUAUCCUGUUAAAAGAAAAUAUAUUUACAUAAGUAAGUAUCUACUAAUACACAGUGAGAACUCUAAGCUGAAUGUAAUGUUACCAAGACCACAAUCUACAGUGGCAAGACAGAUGGUCUCCCUUUGAAGUAGCGAGUCACAGAACAUUUGCUCAUGGAAUGACAGUAGUUUCUAAAUAAUAAUUUAUGACCAAUUUAACAGAGAUUUUCAACUACACAUAUGUCUAUAUGUGUGCAUACACACACACAUACCUCUAUAUGCAUGUACACACAUAAUUUAUAUAAAUACCUACAAAAUAGAAACAAAGUGUUAAUCAGUAGCUUCAGACUAUCAUCUCUGGCAAUGGAAUUAAGGAUUAAGUUUUCCUCUUUGGCUUAUUUGCAUUCUUUAUGCUUAUCUAAAUUCUCCAUAAUGAACAUGUAGUACAGACACAAAAAUUUUAAGUGACUGAACAGAAUAAAAAUAUCACAGCAACUGAGCAUAACUGUGUCCUUUUUC